UAUUUCCUGUUCGAGAGUGGAGCGCCACUCGCCCACGGUCUGCAGCAGCCAGAACCCUCUCACUGCUGAAGCAAGUGGCUGCUCGGCUCUGUUCUGCUUCCAUCAAAUCAAAGCGAUCCAAAAUCAUCGUUUUCUACUGUUGAAGGCUCUUCACUAAUGCCCUGAUGGCACAAUUCAAUAUGAAGGGGAAGGGGGAAAAGGGCAAGAAAUCUUUGGAGUAGACACAGGUUUAUAGAGUAAUAAAAGAUGCAGUCAUGAAAUUUGAUGACACAGCCACAGAGGACUUCAUAAGGAUGACCGCUUCAGAGCAUCUGAAGCAUGCACCGCAAAGACGUGGAGGUGGAGGACACGCAGCAGUCACUCGGGACUGAUUAUCCAUUGUGGAGAAUCUUUUGUACAUUGUCUUUCCUGUUUUUAGUAUAGUUGCUUAUGGUUCAAUUUUACCACAAAACACAUUCGGUUAAGCACUUUAAUUUUUAUUGUUGUACAUUUGUUGUUGUGGUACAGACCCACGCAAGGUAGGCUGUGUAACUUUAUUCAUUUAUUAUAAUUUUUGUUUGGAUUUUACCACCAGUGUUGAUUUUAGAAAGUUUUUAGGUUACGAUGCACAACAUUGAAGUGAUUUAUGCAAGCCAUUAAAUUCAUGUUCCUAGAUUUUAAUUGUAGUCGGCAGAAAAUUUAACUAGUCAAAGCUUAUUAGUGACGUUUGUGCCAGUUAAAAACAAUAAAGAUGGAAAUAAGUGAGUGGU